GAUGAACGCUGGCGGCGUGCCUAAUACAUGCAAGUCGAGCGAACAGAUGAGGAGCUUGCUCCUCUGACGUUAGCGGCGGACGGGUGAGUAACACGUGGAUAACCUACCUAUAAGACUGGGAUAACUUCGGGAAACCGGAGCUAAUACCGGAUAAUAUAUUGAACCGCAUGGUUCAAUAAUGAAAGACGGUUUUGCUGUCACUUAUAGAUGGAUCCGCGCCGCAUUAGCUAGUUGGUAAGGUAACGGCUUACCAAGGCAACGAUGCGUAGCCGACCUGAGAGGAUGAUCGGCCACACUGGAACUGAGACACGGUCCAGACUCCUACGGGAGGCAGCAGUAGGGAAUCUUCCGCAAUGGGCGAAAGCCUGACGGAGCAACGCCGCGUGAGUGAUGAAGGUCUUCGGAUCGUAAAACUCUGUUAUUAGGGAAGAACAAAUGUGUAAGUAACUAUGCACGUCUUGACGGUACCUAAUCAGAAAGCCACGGCUAACUACGUG
rnacentral:rRNA from 1 species